rnacentral:lncRNA from 1 species
UGCUACGAUGCGAAAAAUAGGUUUCUCGUUCUCGAAGUAACAUAUGGUACGUGGCUGAAAGAGCGUGCAAAUGCUCACGCAUGGUCUCAUUGUCAUGGUCGUCUUCGAAAUGACCUACUCAUUUGAAUCCUUCAGGUGCGCACAAAAUGAGGUGGAAGUGGAUGGCAGGAGAGGGAACUUGAAAGAGCGAUGGUGCAACAGUGACGGUAUGAAUGCCCAAUAUUACCAUCAAUCUGGAUGCGUGAGAAAGUCAUGUACGUGCGUCUGCAAGGAAGGUUUCUUCAGGAAAAGACCUCCGUGCGGCGACUGCGUCCGCCAUGACCAGUGCUAGAAAUAACAUCGAAAUUCGAGUCAAAGAAGCGGGCAACCAGUACAUGACACAAUAAAAAUACGAAGACACCUAA